UGGGGAAUUUUCCGCAAUGGGCGCAAGCCUGACGGAGCAAUACCGCGUGAGGGAGGAAGGCUUUUGGGUUGUAAACCUCUUUUCUCAAGGAAGAAGAAAGUGACGGUACUUGAGGAAUCAGCAUCGGCUAACUCCGUGCCAGCAGCCGCGGUAAUACGGAGGAUGCAAGCGUUAUCCGGAAUCAUUGGGCGUAAAGCGUCCGCAGGUGGCGUAUCAAGUCUGCUGUCAAAGACUAGAGCUUAACUCUGGAAAGGCAGUGGAAACUGGUAGGCUAGAGUACGGUAGGGGUAGAGGGAAUUCCCAGUGUAGCGGUGAAAUGCGUAGAUAUUGGGAAGAACACCAGUGGCGAAGGCGCUCUACUGGGCCGUAACUGACACUCAGGGACGAAAGCUAGGGUAGCGAAAG
rnacentral:rRNA from 1 species